rnacentral:lncRNA from 1 species
UUUUGCUCGGUAAAUCACCCAUUCCAAACCAAAAGCCUAUAAAGGGAUCCAGGACCCUUCCGCGUCCUCACCCUUCUGCAGCGCCAGGCAACUCCAGCCCGUUCCAGGGCAGGGACAGUCCCUGCCACUUGGGGUUCCCCUGCUCAGAAGUUUGCAGCAAGCUUUCGAAUCUGCCUGGUGAUUGGGGUGCCAAGGUCCUGGGGUCGAACAUUUGGGGGCUCGUCCUGGAUUUGCAACCACCCCUCACUUGAGUGGAUUCCAUCUUGGAGAUGUGCCCGGAGGAUCACAGACUGUUGCCCUGAGGAUACCCAGGAGGUACAAACGGAGGCCAAGGACACUUGGACCCUCCUCAGUUAGUGGCGAUUGUAGCUGCCUGGUUCUGCCGCCUGUCUUCCCGGCGCCAUUGCCUUAUAAGCAGUGCAGACAGAUUGGGUUGGCGUCUGUUAUUUUCUGUCUCUGUGUUCUCAUCGUUGGUUUUCAAUUCAGGAUCCACCACAACACCCCCUUUCAUUGAGUCAUGUGGUGCCACACUAGGUAACUUUCUUCUCCAGUCUUUGUUACUGUACAGUUUUCUGUAAAGCCUGGAGGGUUGGAAUGGGCUGGGUGACUGGGCAGUAGAGCAGCAGGUUUGUUAUCUGUUAUCUGAUCUGUUGCAGUCCACACCCUCCCCGCCUGCUUUUCCGUGGUGUGUCAGUUUUAUGUUUUCAGGUCUACUAUUUCUGUUAAUUUUGUAAAUGUAAAGGUCCUAUAUUAGGGUUUCUAGCGACAUCUGUAAGUAGGCCUACAAGAAUUGUUUAGGGCGGAGGUUCAGGUAGCAGCCUUCCGAAAUCUGUAGGGGAGGCUUGGUUUCGGCCCAAGUUGAUCUCCAUGGGGAGAGCCAUCUGAAAUUCCGAAUAGGACCCUAGUCUGUGUUAAACAUCUCUUUCUGUCCCUACUGCCCAUGCACAUGGCAUGCAUGGGUCAGGGAUCUUUUCUUGCCGCCCUGAGCAUGUGGUGCGGGGACAGGACUUUCUCUGCCAUGCACCACGGGUUAGGGUUAGAGUGUGCUGCGGCGGAGUUCCCUGAGGCUGCGACUCUGAACUCCAACCAUUGCUGCGACCCUUACAGCUGAGCCUGGCCAAUGUAGGUGAGUCUGUUUUUCUAUCUUCACCUGCCAGUCUGUGAGGCAUGCAAAGUGGGGCUGUCUCUGUCCCAACUGCCAUCCUGCCUUGGGUCCUGGCUUGCGGCAGGAGUUUCCCUGCUCUGGGCACAUGGCUGCAAGGCCGCCAUCUGCCUGGCUGCCCGGCCUUCUCUGUGCUCCACACACGUGGUAUGCAGGAGGACUGCGUGGCUCUUUUUCCCACCCCUGCAUUGGCCGAGGGUCUGGGAUUACCAGCAGCACCCCCCCCCCCAGGGCUCUUCCCUGAGCAGAUGGAGCUCGGGCGGGUCUGAUAUGGAUGUUCUAAAAAAUGGCCUUAAAGUUAUUACAACUAUAAAAGGGACUUUGAUAAGAAUUUUUAUGUUGACUGAGAAAUGAGAGAGAAUGUACUAAAAUAAUAAAGAGAGAAAGGGAAAGAGAAAUUUGUCUAAAAUGUCUAAGAAAAUCAGAGGAAUAAACCAAAGGUAUAUAGAAAGUUAUAGAGGGUUAAAGCUAGUCGUAGAAGGUCAGAGAAAAAGUUGUUAAAAGAAAAAAAAAUGUAAACUGUUUGCUAUGGUUUCUCAUGUCUACAAAUAGUAAAUUUUAAAAAUUGGUAAUAUAAGUUAAAAUUUUAACCAUAUUAAGUUAAUUCUGUUUAAAAAGUCCUGUUUAUUUCUCAAGUAAAUUAUGUAUACUUGUUUUAAAAUGUUCUGUUUCCUGGCAUAACCUAAGUUCUAUUACAAGCAUGUAGCUAAAACAAAUGGUGAGGGUCACCACCAUUUUGUAGCCAGCCACCUGGCACAAAAUGACUGGUAGCCAUUUUGCUAAAGUUGAAAAAAGAUACUUAAACUGCCAUCUUGACUAAAGAUGACCGCAUGGAAAUUAGAGGUACCAUCUUAAAAACAAAUUUUUCAGUUAAGAUUUAAAAUGUUAAUGCUUCUAUAUAUUACAGAAAGACAUUAAGGGAAUUUAAAUUUCUUUUUAAAACCAGUUUUUUAAAUGUUUAUGUUUUUUUAAAAAUGUCUUUUUAUUAAUGUUUGUACUUAAAGAGCUUCAAUUUAGAAUCAUUUUUAAGCAAAGCCUGGCAAUGUAAAGUUCUUGUUUUAUAAAAGAUGCUAAUCUAUUAUAAGAUGUUACAGUUUAUGUUUUCAGAAGUUAAGUUUAGGGCGUUGGUGGCACAUGCCUUUAAUCCCACCACUCGGAGGCAGAGGUGGGUGGAUCUUGUGAGUUCAAGGCCAGCCUGGUAGGCAGAACAAAUUUCAGGACAGGCUCCAAAGCCACAGAAAAAAACAUGUCUCAGACAGAAAUUAAGUUUAAGCAAGCAGCUAAAAUGUGUACAUGUAGCUACUGUUUAAGGACUAUAAGGUAGCUCUAUGCAGUUUUAAAUUCAGCUGUGCUAAGUUUCAAAUAUUUUACUAAGUUAAAACCAGUUACAGUCAGGCUGAAAAUUAAUUACAGAAAUAAGACCUUAAGGCAAGUAACUAAAACAGACAGACAGACCUCUAAUGCUUCAGAGACCUGUAGAAUAUGGCAUUUAAAUUGUUAUCUUUAAAGUUUAUAAUAUCAGACAGACUGCCGGAUCCUGACAGUGACCCAAAGUCUCCAAAGAAGAUUAUGAGGCACCCCAGUUCCUGCACCUGGACCAGGGAGCGAGAUGCUCAGAUGUGAUACCUGCUGCUCACCAGGACCUGGCCGAGACUGGACAAAGCUGCUGGACACUGGAAAAUUGAUUGCACCCCCUUUGCCUAGACAAAACAAGGUCAGUCUUUUCCAUGUCCCUCUUCCACAGAGAGAAAAAAAAAAACCUCUCACCUUAUAGGUCUGGCGAAGAUUGCUGUUCUUUGAGACAUCUGCCUCCAGCGGUAAUGGAGAGACUUGGGUAUGGCUAACUGUAUAUGGACUGGCUUCUAACUGGCUUCUGUCACUUUUUAGUAGAUUCGGAUAAAAUAUACCCUUCUCAGAUCUCUGAAAUAUUAAUGGUUGUCAGCUGGACAGCAUCAGACAGUCAGAUCCACUAUAGGCUAUAGUCAGCAUGUUAGCCGAUAAAGUAAUGACUACCUACUGUUCAGUCACAAGUUCAAGGUUUUUAAGUGUAUUUUGGUUGUCAUCUAGAUAUAAACUUAAAGGGCUUUUCAUCAGGCCAAAGGCACCUCUGUCCAAUCCAUACCUGGCUCUCUGGACAGAAGAAAAUGUACUUGCUUCUAGCCCAAAUCUGUAGUUAUUGAUAGGACUCAAAAUUUUAAAUAUGUUCCUGCUGUUUGAACAGAUAUCCAGAUAUCUGCUUUUUCUGCACUGUGGGCUUCAGUAAAUAAGUUUUAACCUCUGUUCCUAGUUUAAACAUGUCUUAAACAGGUUUCUGCUUCUGGCAGACAUCUGAGUAUCAGUUGCUGACUACAGGCUGUUCUAAGUAGACUGCGAGCCCUGGACUUGCUGUGGAUGUGAACCAGUCCAGCUGAUAUGGACACCCCCUGCCUUUGCAACAGAGUCUGCCAACAGCCCCUGGUGGAUUCCCCAUUGCCUAAAUUCAUUUUUUUGCUUUUGACUAGCAUUUCAACCUUCUGGAGUCCCUAACUUCAUCCCAAAGUCAGCAGGAAGUAGCAUGGGAAAGAAUUUGCUGCCCAUUUUCCCUGGUUAAAAUGCUAAGUCAGAAGGAACUCCCUUGCAUGGGGAUGCAAAUAUCUCUCACUCCCUGAUGGGGGCGCUAGAGAGACAGCAAUUCCAUGAUUGGAAUUUCCAAAAAAGAAAACGGGGAAAUGAAGGGACCAGCUCCCCAUUUCCGCAGCCAUGACUGUAACACGUGCUUGCCAUGACCUUGUCUUAGUCACUAAGGUCAGAUGCCCACCCCUUUCGGCAGCCAUAAUAGUAACACGUGCUUUUCUGACCUUGCCUUGGUCACUAGAGGUUAGGUGCCUGCCUCAUGGCAAGGAACCAAUCAGAAGUUAGCUGAUGUCGCUAUGCUUUACGGCUCUGGGUGUGCUUUACAGACAAGUGCACAGCAAUGACUCACAGAGCAUAGCAACCACACUGGGAGGGCCUAUGGGCCAUAACAACCAGUUGGCCAAUCAACACAGGGCAAGCCCUCCAAUCCUGGAGGCACACCAAUCCUGAGCCUGUGCGUACCCCUAGACACUCCCCUUACGCUGCCCUACAAGAUCUCUAUGCAGCCCCUUCGAGCUGUCUUUGCUAGCCAUCCACCAUGGCGGGUGGGUGAAGACCCUAGCUAACAUGGGAUUAGCUCGUUAAAUGACAAUAAAGCCUCGUGCAGUUUGCAGCAAGCUUUUGAAUCUUCCUGGUGAUUGGGGUGACCGAGGUCCUGGGCUGAGACCCCGGAGGCCUGAGUUUUCCUGGGGUCUAACAAUACCACUGAAGGAUGUGCAUGACUUUAAUCCCCGCACUUGGGAGGCAGAGGCAGGUAGAUCUCUGUGAGUGAGUUCUAGGCCCAUCUGGUCUACACAGUGAGUUUCUAGCCAUCCAAGGCUACACAGAGAAACCCUGUCUCAAAAAACCAAAUACAUAAAUAAAAAUAGGGAGGUCAUGUGACUUCACCACCAUCAUGAAUAAAGGUGACCAAAUGGAGUGGGUCUCCAAGUUAUUUUAGAUUAGGAUAGACUUCUAUGUGAUAAUUCCUGUCCUGCCUUAAAAACAAGGUUUAUAGAAGAUAGGAUUUAAAACAACGUUGGCAUUCAUGUAUAGGGAUGUAUCUUGCUGAUAGCCAGAUUUUGUAAUGUAUUAUUGAUUUUAAAAACACUAAGUUGUUUACAAUGUGAAAAUGUAGUUUGUCUUCUACAGAUUAUGAUUAUGCUUUAUCUUAGGAGCACUGCUCAACACCAGAGGCUGAGAUAUUCCUAUUUUAUGAUGCAACAAGAUGGCUUAAAACAGUCUGACAAAGAGCUCUCCUUACUAUUCAGGCUCACAAAGACAAAUUUAAAAAUAUAUGUCUAAGGCCAGGCAGUGAUGGUUUUGCUAUGAUACCAAGGUAUAAAUCUACUCCAGCUGUCUUACAGGUACCUGCAUGUUUCUGGAAAAAAAAAAGUUCUGCUACUGUAUCAAGAAAUCAGUGUCUAGAUAGGUCCUCCUGCCAGACAUGUGCCAAGUCCAACCCACAGGGGGCCCUCCAAAGACACCAGCCCCUACACCAGCUCCAAAGACACCAGCUUCAAGGACACCAACCUGGUGAGGACUGGCAAGUUGGCUUCACCCAUAUACCCACUCAUAAAGCUCCAAUGUCUCCUAACUCCAGUGAAACAGCAGAUGUGAUGGCUCAGGUACUUCUGGAACACAUCAUCCUUAGAUCUGUUGUGCCAUCCCAAGCUCCGGGGACAUUAGUGCUGAUAGCAUUUUUCUAGGUUCAAGUGGGUACCUAUCCAGCAACUGGAAUCUGGUUUUCCAAGAUGUUUCAGUAAAGGGCAUAUCUGCUCUCAUGUCUCACUCAUUCACCCUUGUCUCUUUUGUACAACCAUAUAUCCAUUUCAUUCUUUCUGGUAACCUUCCCUCUUCCCAUCGCUAGCCCCAUUCAUAGUGCUGGUAAUAAUAAUCUAUUUUUUUCCUAGUAACCUGCCUUCUCCAUCUCCUCAAGGAAUAGAUGCCUGAGGUCUCCAGGAUGGUAGCUAACUGAAUGCUUCUUCACUCAUACUUCCUGUUGAACAUGAACCCACCAAUUUCCCCUCCCCAUGUCAUCACUUGCCCGAAAGUAGUAGCCAAACUUGAACUGGAGCCCACAUACACAAGGAGUCUGGGAUAUUUAGGUGGAAGCUCUGCCUCAGCCCCCCACUCCAAACCUCCUCCUGCUCCCUGCCUCUCAGAAAGCCCUCCAGGGUAUUUAAGACCUGGAUCCUAGAAGAUUUCUCCUCUUCCCAUUUCUGAGAGCUGCCUGAGAAUGCUUUGCUUUGUUCUGUUUAUUAAACUUGGUCUUAUUAAUUCAGCUGGAUUUGAUUAAUCGCAUCAGCAGAGAAACCCACAAUUGGGGAUUUUCAAAAUACUUAUCAGGUGCACCUAGGCAGUGAGUCAAGUACUAAGCAGAUCCCUUCAUGGUUUCUGCUUCUGUUCCUAUCCUGAUUUUUCAGGGAUGGACUGCAACUCAGAACCCUUUCUUCCCUCCAAAUGCUUUGGGCAUGGUUUUAAUCAUAAUAGAAUGAAACUAGAAGGGUAUGGGAGUAAAAAGGAUAAAAGGAGGUGAAUAUGCUCAAACGCAUUAUAUACAUAUAUGAAUAUAUAUGAAAUGUCAUACUGAAACCAAUUAUGUAUAACUAAUAUAUACUAAUAAAAGACCAAAUGCUAGCUGGGCAUUGGUGGCACAUGCCUUUAAUCCCAGCACUUGGGAGGCAGAGGCAGGUGGAUCUCUGUGAGUUCGAGACCAGCCUGGUCUACAAGAGCUAGUUCCAGGACAGCCUCCAAAAGCCACAGAGAAACCCUGUCUCGAAAAACCAAAAAAAAAAAAAAAAAAAAAAAGACCAAAUGCUCUAAAUUAAUUACCCAGUGGAAUUUAUUUAUUUGGUUUUUUGACACACGGUUUCCCUGUGUAGCCCUAGCUUCUUCAAACUCACUGUGUAGACCAGAUGGGCCUAGAACUCACUCACAGAGAUCUACCUGUCUCUGCCUCCCAAGUGCUGGGAUUAAAGUCAUGCACAUCCUUCAGUGGUGUUUAUUAGUGCUAUCAAGACACUGACAGUUUAAAUGCUUUAAUUACUUUUGUGAACUUGCAUACAUUCUUAUGCUAACUUUAGUUUGUUAUGAAAACUGUUCUAAUGGGAAACUAAGUUAAGCUGCCCGAAUACCUUCCAUUUUGUACUAGUUUUAGCGAACUCCUGAUGGGCGAAGUCCAUCUGUGUAUAUGUUUUUCUUAUUGGUUGAUGAAUAAAACUGUGGCCAAUAGAGGCAGGGAGAUAGGUGGGACUAGGAGAUGAGGAGAAUUCUGGGAAUUCUGGGAGAGCAGUCACCAUGUAGUGAAGGAAUAACAGUUCUGGACCCUUCUACUGUAAGAAAAGACCACGUGGAAAUACUUAGAUUAAUAGAGAUGGGUUAAUAAUUAAGACAGAGCUAGCUAAUAAGAAGCCCUAGUCAUUGGCCAACAGCUUUAUAAUUAGUAUGUCCUGUGUUUAUUUGGGGCUCUCAAGGGUGGCAGAAUCCUGCUGGGACAAACUCCAUCUAGUGUUGCAUCCUAUUGCUCUCUAAGCACACCCUGCUGAGCAGAGCAUUCUCAUGCAGCCAUACCUGUAGCCUCAGGAAAUCUGCUGUCUUACAACAUAAAACAAACUUUUAAUUAAACAGUUCUGGGGGUCAAAAUUUAGGCUUUGUGCUGCUGGGUGUGGAGGGGCAUGCUCUAGGUCUUAUAUGAAGUAAUUUUCAAAUAUGAAUUGUCAGUCUGGAUGGGUGUUGUACUGCACACCUUUAACCCCAGCACUCGAGGCAGAUGCAGGAGGAUCUCUGUGAGUUCCAGGCCAGUCUUGUCUACAUAUGAGCUCCAGGCCAGCCAGGGCUAGCAACUGUGAUCCUGUCCCAAAAAGAAAAAAGAAUUUUCAAUGAGAAGUCUGGUGCAAGCUUACCUCACAAGGAAAUGGUCUCAUUUACUGAAUACCCCAGACAGUACAGAAUUUCUAUUUCCCUUCAACACUUGAAAUACCUUUUAUAACUCAAACACACUACCAAUGAAUGUUUUAAAGUAGAUCACUAUGACUGCUUGUUUAUAAACUAGCUAUUAAAACUAAAUUUAAAUGUAAUAUAUGGUGUGUGAGUCUGGUUUCUCUAAAGGAAUAGAAUGGCUUGCAAGCUGUGGUCUGGAUAGUUCAAUAGCGUCUCCUAACAGAAAGCCUGAGAAUAUGGUCUAUCCAUAAGACUGGCUGUUGCAGCCAUCCCAACCUGAUGCCUAGAGACCUGCUGAUCUUCAGGCUAUAUUGAAAUCCCGAAGAAAUAGGUUCUAACACCUGCAAGGGAUUGCCUUGGCAGCAGGAUGGAUGAACUUACCGAGGGCAAGCAGGCAAAAAGCAAACCUUUCUUCUUCCAUGUCCUUUUAUGUGGGCUGUUACAGGAAAGUGUGGCCCAGACAUAGGGUGGGUCUUCUUCAAUAAAUGAUCCAAUCAAGAAAAAUUCCUCACAGGUGAACCCAGCUGCUUCAGUUUUGUUUUUGUAUUUUGGUUUUUGGAGACAAGGUUUCUCUGUGGUUUUGGAACUAGCUCUUGUAGACCAGGCUGGCCUCGAACUCACAGAGAUCCACCUGCCUCUGCCUCUGGAGUGCUGGGAUUAAAGGCAUGCACCACCAAUGCGUGGCUGCUGCUUGAGUUUUAACUGGUUCCAGAUGUAGUCAAGUUGACAGCCAGAUAAAGAAUCACAAAACCAGAAGCCACUGCACCAAAGGACACACACACACACACACACACACACACACACACACACACACUUUGGUACAUCAUUACCAUUACCUUCCCUCUAAAUUACAGAAAGCAUAAAUACCUCAUAAAGCAUGGGUUACCCCAUUUCCUAACCUAAAGUGCCCAGCAUUCCAUACAUUGACCUGGGAAUCCAUACACCCAAACUUGCCAAGCUUCAGCUAGCUGCCAUUGCAUCUGACUUUUGUUGUCAGUUUGGAUGGUUUUUGUUUGUCUUUUUUUGUUUUGUUUUAUUUUGUUUUGCACGGAGGAUCUGGCCCAGGAAUUGUGACGCUAGGCCAUACUCUACCACUGAGCCAUCUUCCAUCUUUCUUCCUAUACACAUUAAACUUUGUAAGAGUAAAAUAACCUCAUCUCAGCUUUUUUUCUACCCAUAUCCAACUUAUCUCUUAAGUCCACACCUGUGUUUACCUAAAGAGAAAGCCAAAUUGACAUGAAGUGACAUAUUGCUUCUGCAGAGUAGUAUUGUUUAGCAUUGAGUAUCUUGUGUUUACAGCUAAUAACGCCUCUGUAGCUAUUCCCUCUACCCUACUUAGCAAAACAAUAUUUACUCUGGCCCAUUUCCAAGACUGUUAGAAAAAUCUUUUGAGUGUUGUAGGACACAGAUAUUCUUGCUAACAAACUUUGAAAUGGCCUUUAAAACAGCAAAUUUAUACAAGCAUGGACAUUAGUUUCAAUACUUUUUAUAUUUUAAGAGGGAUGAGGCUGGACAGAUAGCACAGCUAUUGUUUGCCUUCCCCAGAAAGCUACAUUUUAAAAGCCAGACACAGUAGUGUGCACUUGUAAUCACGGUGCUGGGAAAACGGUGACAGGCAGAUCCCUAGAGCUCUCUGGCCAGCCACCCUAGCCUAAGUGGUCCUGCAUAGACUGCCAAGGAUACUCAUUCCCUUCUUCAUUGCAAUGGUGCCGUGGUCCUGUGCUGCCUAUGGCAGGGUAUGAUCUGAAACAAACCUGUUCUUCCCCACUGCCUUCCUAUUGGAGACUGGAUGUGAAACGGAUUCCUGUGUUUGAAUACUUGGUCCCCAGCUGGCAGCACUAUUUGGCAAGGUUGUAUAACUUCAGGAAGUGGAACCUUGCUGGAGGAAGAGGGUCAACGGGGGUAGAUCUUGAGGUUUUGUGGUUUAACACUGCAUUCUGUUCAAGCUGCUUCUUGACUGCAGAUGCAUUGUGCAUAUAUCUGGGUCUGUAAAUCAGAACAAAUCUUUCCUUUUCAGGUAUUUUGUCAUAGGAACAAGAAAAGUUAAUUACUUCCACCAAAGCCAAAGUUACUGUUGACCACGGAGGGGGAGACAAGGAUGCCACUGUCUAUCUAGCUUCAGCCUAAGUCCUGCCUGGUACUGUGUGGAGAUACUCCUUUUGUGGACAUGGGUGGAUAGAAAAAAAAAAAAAACCCAAGUCUUACCAACAGCAAGUUCUGUGCUGGUUGCCAGCAACAGGCUCUGGCAGGGGCAGCAGUAUGGACCUUGAUUGGGUUUCACCUGCACACAUGGUCCCUGGCAUAUGCUGUGUGUUGAGAAGGACACUAAGCUAGAAUAGGUGCAUAUCUGAGUUUCCAAUUAGAUUACAUAGAUAAGAAAGAUCAUUUAGCUGCGACUCAUACUUGAUAUGGAAACCACUAGGAAAUGGAAAAACAACAGAGUCAAAGGAAACAGAAAAGCCCUCCUAACUGAAGUAACUUCUAAUCCUGCCAUUGGCUCAGAUGUUAAUGCUAAUGUGGAGAGACCUCAUGCUUUCAGAGAACUUGUUUUGUUUGUGUAUAUAGUUGUUUGUGUGUGUGGUCUAUGUAUGAGUUUGGGUGUGUGCACUUGCACAUAGAGACCAAAGGUCUCUAUGUUGAGGUCAGGAUUGCCCCAGCACUGUGAGAUAAGGGCUCUCUGGUAGCUGUAGGGAGCCGUCCCUGCAUUCUCCAUUACAAGAUGGCGCCUGCAUCCGGCAGGCACCGAAUGUAAACAAGAUUAUUGCGCAGGCGCUGGGUAAUUUUCCAUUCCUUGAUCUCUGCCUAUUCCGUGGCGUCAUAUGGCCUGAUGAGCUGCAGCCAAUCAUAGGGUGACACGUCCCAGGCGGCGGCUGCCAGCCUUUAUUAGGGGACGGGAUUCUUGGCUCAGGGUCUCCGCUCUGGGAAGCUUAUGCUCUCCACUCUCAAGAUGCAUUAAAGCUUGUCUGCAGAAGGAUCCGAGUGUCCCGUGUAUGAUUUCUUGCUGGCGAGAAAUACAGAGCGCGCGGGACAUAUGGUGCCGAAACCCGGGAACAUGUGAACAUCUCCAGCACCGUGGAGACCCCUCUAACGAGGCGGAUUCAGAACUGCAGGGUGGUAAAUUCGGAGAGGUAUGAUUUUUCUGGACUUUGGCUUGGGAAUGUUGCUAUUGUGGGAGGUUAAUACUUUUCUCACUGUUGUAGCAAUCUUAAAGAAGUCCAGAAUUAUAUAUCAGAAACCGAAUGUGGUGAGAGAUGGGGCGCGCCUAACAAUAAAAUAUAAGAAAAAAGGACCUCCCGGAAUGUCUAGUGACAAGGGAGUGAAUAAUUUGUUAAGAGAAACAGCAAUAAAUAAGAAAAAAGGACCUCCUGGAAUGUCUACUGACAAGGGAGUGAAUAAUUUGUUAGAUGAUUCUGUAAAUAAGUUUAAAGCUUUAAAUCUUGAUAGCUCUAAUGACUCUAAAAGCUCAAGAGAUGGGGUUUUGGAAGGAACAGCUCAGCUGGAUGAGGGAGAGACAGAGAAGGAGGGAGAGAAAAUAGGGAAUAACCGGUCACACCCCGGUAAAUUUAGGAGAGAUGAGGACUCAAAACCUAGCCUCUGCCCUGCAACGAAACUGGAGGCCUUGGAGCUGAACAGCUCAGACUCUGAGAUUUUAGACUCUAGCAAGGAAGCAGAGCUAGAGAAAGAAGCAGCACGAUACCACUCCGAUAGAUAUCGGCUGCCAAAAAUGCCAGCGGGUGUGCUUCCAUCAGCACCCCCACUAUUUGGUACCGACUCCUUUUUACCAUCAGAGGAGCGGAGAAAAUUGCAGAUGGCUUUCCCAGUCUUUGACAGGGGAAAAGGCCACACAUGUUAUUCAAAACUUCUUAGAGGCCUGGGAUGCCUGGGGAAAGCCUCAUAUCCUAAAGUUGCUCAAGUAAUUUAUGUAUGCUUGUUUUAAAAUGUUCUAUUUCCUGGUACGGCCAUUUUGUAGCUGGUCACAUGACUGACGGUAGCCAUUUUGCUAAAGUUAAAAAAAGGAUACUUAGACCGCCAUCUUAACUAAAGGUGACCGCAUGGAAAUUAGAAGUACCAUCUUAGAAACAAGUUUUUCAGUUAAGAUUUAAAAUGUUAAUGCUUCUAUAUAUUACAGAAAGACCUUAAGGAAAUUUAAAUUUCUUUUUAAAACCAGUUUUCAAAUGUUUGAUUUUAUUAAUGUUUAUACUUAAAGAGCUUCAAUUUAGAAUUUUUAAGCAAAGCUUGACAAUGUAAAGUUCUUGUUUUUGUAAAAGAUGCUAAUCUAUUAUGUUGGUAGCACACACCUUUAAGCUCAGGGUGUUGGUGACACACGCCUUUAAGUUGAGGGCGUUGGCGGCAUACGCCUUUAAUCCCAACACUCGGGAGUAAGAGGCAGAUAGAUCUUUAUGAGUUCAAGGCCUGCCUGGUCCGACAGAUCGAAUUCCAGGACAGGCUCCAAAGUCACAAAAAAAAAAAAAACCCUGCCUCAGAAAGAAGUUAAGCUACUGUUUAAGGAAGUUCAGCUGUAUUACAGAAAUAAGACUUUACCUAGCCACCUGUGUGCUUCUUAAAAACAGAUAAUGGGCCGGCUUAUACCUCUCAAAAGUUCCAGCACUUCUACAGACAGAUGGAAAUUACCCAUCUAACUGGCCUACCUUAAAAGGAGGGAAUGGGAGCAUCCCUACCCUCGGUGCCAAGAGUUGCAAUAUCCAUGGCACUCUUUACCCUUAAUUUUCUAAACACCGACGCUCAGGGCCAUACAGCGGCCAAGCGUCAUACCUCAGAGGAGAUGGUAAAAUGGAAAGAUGUCUUAACUGGUCUUUGGAGAGGCCCGGAUCCUAUUCUCAUAAGAUCCAGGGGAGCGAUAUGUGUUUUUCCACAGGAUGAAGAGAAUCCCCUGUGGAUCCCGGAAAGACUCACCCGAAGAGCCCCUUUGGACCCUCAAAAGUCGGAACUCCACCCUCUCCCCGGGAGUUGAGAGCCGCUAUUAUCCAGAUUAACUCCUGUCCUUGACGGAGGGACUGUCAUCAUGGAUUGCUUCAGCUGUCUCCUAUUUUAAGGAAUGGGUGGAGGUGGGAUUGUUUGGUGCAGCCGUUUGCUGCGGAUUGAUGUUGCUUCUCUGGCUGGUCUGUAGGCUCAGGGCUCAAACUAAGAGAGACAAGGUGGUUAUCGCCCAAGCGCUUGUAGCUUUGGAACAAGGGGCUUCCACUGAUAUUUGGCUAACUAUGCUUAAGCAAUAGGCCGCUGGCCAGACAGCUCUUGCACACCCGGAGCCUAGGCUCAUUGCACAGGGUAGAGUGUCUGGUCUGGGCAGCCCAAUGAGGGAUGCUGAGCAAAGGCAUCGCACAGAGUUGCCUAUUAUACAGGCUUCUCUGGGAGGUACGUUGACCUGCAUAAGGGUUACCUGCCCUGAGACUCCCUUUCCCAGAAAAACGGCAGAGGACAGGUCGAGAGUGCUUCGGGUCAAGCUAACAGCCUAGUCGCGACUCCCGUACACAGUCUUAAUGUUUGAUUUUGGGAAGGUACAACCUCUACCUCUAUCCCUCAACAUAUGGGUGACCUAUUUGCUUGUAAUAAUAUAAAGCCUUUUCAUUAAUUAAUAAAAAAAGGGGGAUAUGUAGGGAGCCGUCCCUGCAUUCUCCAUUACAAGAUGGCGCCUGCAUCCGGCAGGCACCGAAUGUAAACAAGAUUAUUGCGCAGGCGCUGGGUAAUUUUCCAUUCCUUGAUCUCUGCCUAUUCCGUGGCGUCAUAUGGCCUGAUGAGCUGCAGCCAAUCAUAGGGUGACACGUCCCAGGCGGCGGCUGCCAGCCUUUAUUAGGGGACGGGAUUCUUGGCUCAGGGUCUCCGCUCUGGGAAGCUUAUGCUCUCCACUCUCAAGAUGCAUUAAAGCUUGUCUGCAGAAGGAUCCGAGUGUCCCGUGUAUGAUUUCUUGCUGGCGAGAAAUACAGAGCGCGCGGGACAGGUAGCUUGGCUGCUUUUGCUUUUCUAAUAUUCAGUGGCUUUACUAGAUCAUAAACAAUAUAUCACCACACUCUAGAUAACAAAAAGCUAAGUAUGGUGUCUUCCUCAGUUGCUCUUGACCCUGUUUUGAAACAAGGUCUCUCACUAGUUCUGGCUGGCCAGUGAGUCCUAGAUCUUCCUGCUGUUGUGUACCCAGUGCUGGGUUUACAGACAUAUAC